CAGCUAGAGUUUGAUAGAGGAAAGCAGAAUUUCUAGUGUAGAGGUGAAAUUCGUAGAUAUUAGAAAGAAUACCAAUUGCGAAGGCAGCUUUCUGGAUCAUUACUGACACUGAGGAACGAAAGCAUGGGUAGCGAAGAGGAUUAGAUACCCUCGUAGUCCAUGCCGUAAACGAUGUGUGUUAGACGUUGGAAAUUUAUUUUCAGUGUCGCAGCGAAAGCGAUAAACACACCGCCUGGGGAGUACGACCGCAAGGUUAAAACUCAAAUGAAUUGACGGGGACCCGCACAAGUAGUGGAGCAUGUGGUUUAAUUCGAAGAUACGCGCAGAACCUUACCAACACUUGACAUGUUCGUCGCGACUUUAAGAGAUUAAAGUUUUCGGUUCGGCCGGACGAAACACAGGUGCUGCAUGGCUGUCGUCAGCUCGUGUCGUGAGAUGUUGGGUUAAGUCCCGCAACGAGCGCAACCCUCACUUUUAGUUGCCAUCAUUUAGUUGGGCACUCUGAAAGAACUGCCAGUGAUAAGCUGGAGGAAGGUGGGGAUGACGUCAAGUCCUCAUGGCCCUUACGUGUUGGGCUACACACGUGCUACAAUGGUAUUUACAACAGGAAGCAAGACGGCGACGUUUAGCAAAUCCUUAAAAAAUACCUCAGUUCGGAUUGCACUCUGCAACUCGAGUGCAUGAAGCUGGAAUUACUAGUAAUCGUGGAUCAGCGUGCCACGGUGAAUGCGUUCCCGGGUCUUGUACACACCGCCCGUCACACCAUGGGAGUUGGUUCUACCUUAAGGCAAGGUUUAAAACCCUUGACCACGGUAUAGUCAGCGACUGGGGGUGAAGUCAUAACAAGGUAGCCGUA
rnacentral:rRNA from 1 species